rnacentral:rRNA from 1 species
UUGCUCUUCAACGAGGAAUGCCUAGUAAGCGCGAGUCAUCAGCUCGCGUUGAUUACGUCCCUGCCCUUUGUACACACCGCCCGUCGCUACUACCGAUUGAAUGGCUUAGUGAGGCCUUGGGACUGGCUCAGGGAGGUCGGCAACGACCACCCAGAGCCGGAAACUUGGUCAAACUUGGUCAUUUAGAGGAAGUAAAAGUCGUAACAAGGUUACCGUAGGUGAACCUGCGGUAGGAUCAUUAAAGAGAUAGGGUUCUCACGAGCCCGACCUCCAACCCUUUGUCUACCAAACCUCUGUUGCCUCGGCGGGUCGCCGGCGCCUCUAAUCAGGCGCCGCCGUCGGCCUCUGCGCUCUCGAGUGCCCGCCGCAGGACUAUAUAAACUCUUUUUAAACAAGUAUAAUCUGAGUGGAUAUUUAAUGCUUCAAUUAAAACUUUCAACAACGGAUCUCUUGGUUCUGGCAUCGAUGAAGAACGCAGCGAAAUGCGAUAAGUAAUGUGAAUUGCAGAAUUCAGUGAAUCAUCGAAUCUUUGAACGCACAUUGCGCUCCCUGGUAUUCCGGGGAGCAUGCCUGUUCGAGCGUCAUUAUCAACCCUCAAGCCCCGCUUGGUAUUGGGCGCCGUCCCUGCUGUGGACGCGCCCUAAAGACGUUGGCGGCGGUGUUAUACCUCAAGCGUAGUAAAAUCUCCAGCUUUCUUGGUUUGACAUUGCUUUGCCUCCAGAAACCCAUCUUUUUAAAGGUUGACCUCGGAUCAGGUAGGGAUACCCGCUGAACUUAAGCAUAUCAAUAAGCGGAGGA